AAUCAACGCUGGCGGCGUGCCUAACACAUGCAAGUCGAACGCGAAAGCCCCGCAAGGGGUAAGUAGAGUGGCAAACGGGUGAGUAACACGUGGGUGACCUGCCUUAGAGUGGGGGAUAACGUCCCGAAAGGGACGCUAAUACCGCAUAACAUCCUGCCUUUGAAGAGGUGGAGAUCAAAGCCGGGGACCGCAAGGCCUGGCGCUCAAAGAGGGGCCCGCGCCUGAUUAGCUAGUUGGUGAGGAAUGGCUCACCAAGGCAACGAUCAGUAUCCGGCCUGAGAGGGCGGACGGACACACUGGGACUGAGACACGGCCCAGACUCCUACGGGAGGCAGCAGUGGGGAAUUGUUCGCAAUGGGCGCAAGCCUGACGACGCAACGCCGCGUGGAGGAUGAAGACCC
rnacentral:rRNA from 1 species